AUGGCCUCCAGCUCCAGAGACGACCGUGCGGGAGCCGCAGCGCCGCGCCCGCGCAUCGUCCUCAUCCCGAGCGCCGGCAUGGGCCACCUGGCGCCCUUCAGCCGCCUCGCCGCCGCCCUCUCCUCCGGCCACACCUGCAAUGUCUCCCUCGUGACGGUCCUCCCCACCGUGUCGUCGGCGGAGUCCGGCCACCUCGACGCGCUGUUCGCCGCGUUCCCGGCCGUCCGCAGGCUCGACUUCCAACUCCCACCGCUCGACGCGCCCGAGCUCUCCGGCGCCGACCCGUUCUACGUGCACUACGAGGCCACGCGCCGCUCCGCGCGCCUCCUGGCCCCGCUCCUCGCCGCCGCCGACGCGUCCGCGCUCGUCGCCGACAUCUCGCUGGCCUCCGUGCUCAUCCCCGUGGCCAGCGAGCUCCGCCUCCCGUGCUACGUCUUCUUCACCGCGUCCGCCACCAUGUUCUCCUUCUACGCCUACUACCCCACCUACUUGGACGCCGCGGGAGCCGGCGACGCCGACGUCCCCGGGGUGUACCGCAUCCCGAAGUCUUCCUUCCCGCAGGCUCUGCACGACCGUAACAACCUCUUCACCCAGCAGUUCGUCGCCAACGGCCAGAGCCUCUCGAAAGCCGACGGCCUCCUCAUCAACACGUUCGACGCCUUGGAGCCGGAGGCCGUGACGGCGCUGCGACAGGGCUCGGUUGUCCCUGGGUUCCCGCCGGUGUUUAACGUCGGGCCGCUCAGCCCGGUGAGCUUCCCGGCGAGGGCAUCCUCUGACUACUCGGCAUGGCUCGACGCGCAGCCGGAGCGGUCGGUGGUGUACGUCAGCUUCGGCAGCCGGAAGGCCUUAGCCCGGGACCAGCUCAGCGAGCUCGCCGACGGUCUUGAAGCGAGCGGUUGCCGGUUCUUGUGGGUGGUGAAGGGCACCGUCGUGGACAAAGACGACGGCGCCGAGCUCAGCGAGCUGCUCGGCGAAGGGUUCUUGCAGCGGGUGAGCGGCCGGGCACUCGUGACCAAGGCGUGGGUGGAGCAAGGGGAGGUCCUGAAGCACCCGGCCAUCGGAAUGUUCGUCAGCCACUGCGGCUGGAACUCGUUGACCGAGGCGUUCGCGAGUGGCGUGCCGGUGCUGGCGUGGCCGAGGUUCGCCGACCAGCGGGUGAACGCCGGCAUUGUGGCGCGCCGUGGGGCCGGCGUCUGGGUCGAGCGGUGGAGCUGGGAAGGGGACGAUGGGGUGGUGAAGGGGGAGGAGAUCGCGGAGAAGGUGAAAUCAGUGAUGGCAGACGAGAUGUUGAGGAGGAGUUCUACGGUGGUCCGCGAGGCCGCGAUGACGGCCGUGGCCGGUGGCGGGACGAGCUACCGGAGCUUGGCGGAGCUUGUGGCACGGUGUUGUGAUGGUAGUGCCAGUAACGCGCCGUCAGAGGCGUGA
rnacentral:rRNA from 1 species